GAUGAACGCUGGCGGCGUGCCUAAUACAUGCAAGUAGAACGCUGAAGGAAGGAGCUUGCUCUUUCCGGAUGAGUUGCGAACGGGUGAGUAACGCGUAGGUAACCUGCCUGGUAGCGGGGGAUAACUAUUGGAAACGAUAGCUAAUACCGCAUAACAGUAGAUGUUGCAUGACAUCUGCUUGAAAGGGGCAAUUGCUCCACUACCAGAUGGACCUGCGUUGUAUUAGCUAGUUGGUGAGGUAACGGCUCACCAAGGCGACGAUACAUAGCCGACCUGAGAGGGUGAUCGGCCAUACUGGGACUGAGACACGGCCCAGACUCCUACGGGAGGCAGCAGUAGGGAAUCUUCGGCAAUGGACGGAAGUCUGACCGAGCAACGCCGCGUGAGUGAAGAAGGUUUUCGGAUCGUAAAGCUCUGUUGUAAGAGAAGAACGAGUGUGAGAGUGGAAAGUUCACACUGUGACGGUAUCUUACCAGAAAGGGACGGCUAACUACGUGCCAGCAGCCGCGGUAAUACGUAGGUCCCGAGCGUUAUCCGGAUUUAUUGGGCGUAAAGCGAGCGCAGGCGGUUAGAUAAGUCUGAAGUUAAAGGCUGUGGCUUAACCAUAGUACGCUUUGGAAACUGUUUAACUUGAGUGCAAGAGGGGAGAGUGUAAUUCCAUGUGUAGCGGUGAAAUGCGUAGAUAUAUGGAGGAACACCGGUGGCGAAAGCGGCUCUCUGGCUUGUACUGACGCUGAGGCUCGAAAGCGUGGGGGAGCAAACAGGAUUAAAUACCCUGGUAGUCCAAGGGCGAAAUCCGCAUGUAUAUCAGCUUAUCGAGACCGUCGAGUCCGGGGGGUGCCCGUGUCCCAGCUUUGUGCUUAGUGAUGUUAUUAGGCCCAUUAUAGUGGUGUUUUCCUUUGCUGUACUGUGUGCCUUGGUGUGUGAUAGUGUGGUGUGUGUGUUUC
rnacentral:rRNA from 1 species